rnacentral:rRNA from 1 species
UACGUAGGGUGCAAGCGUUGUCCGGAAUUAUUGGGCGUAAAGAGCUCGUAGGCGGUUUGUUGCGUCGGCUGUGAAAACCUGAGGCUCAACCUCAGGCCUGCAGUCGAUACGAGCAGACUAGAGUGUUGCAGGGGAGACUGGAAUUCCUGGUGAAGCGGUGAAAUGCGCAGAUAUCAGGAGGAACACCGGUGGCGAAGGCGGGUCUCUGGGCAACAACUGACGCUGAGGAGCGAAAGCGUGGGGAGCGAACAGG